GAAAUGCCUUCAUGAGAUCCAGCUGUAAGGCAUUUUAUCAGUUAGUGAUCAAUGGGGGAAUGCUCAUUCCAUCGUGGGUGGUAUCAUCCCUAGGCUGGUAGUCCU
ensembl:miRNA